UACGGGAGGCAGCAGUGGGGAAUAUUGCACAAUGGGCGCAAGCCUGAUGCAGCCAUGCCGCGUGUAUGAAAAAGGCCUUCGGGUUGUAAAGUACUUUCAGUCGUGAGGAAGGUGUUAAGGUUAAUAACCUUAGCAAUUGACGUUAGCGACAGAAGAAGCACCGGCUAACUCCGUGCCAGCAGCCGCGGUAAUACGGAGGGUGCGAGCGUUAAUCGGAAUUACUGGGCGUAAAGGGCACGCAGGCGGUUAAUUAAGUUGGAUGUGAAAUCCCCGGGCUUAACCUGGGAAUGGCAUUCAAGACUGGUUAGCUAGAGUCUUGUAGAGGGGGUAGAAUUCCAUGUGUAGCGGUGAAAUGCGUAGAGAUGUGGAGGAAUACCGGUGGCGAAGGCGGCCCCUGGACAAAGACUGACGCUCAUGUGCGAAAGCGUGGGGAGCGAAACAGGGAUAGAUACC
rnacentral:rRNA from 1 species